GGAGAGUGGCUUUUUGAAAUUUGGGAUAGUGGUCACAUUUGCCCCUAGCAAUGUCACUACUGAGGUUAAAUCUGUGGAGAUGCACCAUGAGGCCCUGGCGGAAGCCCUGCCAGUUAACAGUGUAGGAUUCUGUGUGAAGAAUGUGUCUGUGAAGGACGUUUGGUGGGUGAAUGAGGCUGGAGACAGCAGGAACGACCUCUCCCAUAGAGGCUGACAGUUCUGUGGCACAGGUAAGCCCCAGGGAGCAAAGGGUCUUGGCCUGGUGCAGGAGGGAGUGCUUCAGGAUUAGUCCUGAUUUACACUGAGGCCACAGGUUUUGCUGCCAUCUGUCUAAUUCCACCCUGCUACCCCACCAGGCAAUUGUCCUGAACCAUUCUGGGCAGAUCCACGCUGGCUACUCCCCUGUGCUGGACUGUCAUACAGCCCACGUCUCCUGCAAGUUUGCCCAAUGGAGGGAAAAGAUUGACCGGCACUCUGUCAAGAAACUGCAGGAGAACCUCAAGGCUCUGAAGGCUGUUUUACAGUGUGGGACAUGAGACAAGCAGAAGCUGUUAGAGUCAUCAAGGCUGUGGACAAGAAGUCCUCCCCUGCUGGCAAGGUCACCAAGUCUGCAGCAAAAGCCAGCAAGAAAUGAAGCCCACCCUCCUCUCUGUAGUGUCCUCAGCUCCCCCUUCCCCCAAAAAACUAAACAUUCAAUGAGUGUAUGUAUUUCCUAAAUAAAGUGGAUAAAACUUGA